GCCCGAACGUAACACGACACCACCGUCCGCCAAAUAACUACGAGUACAAACUUAAAAUUUAAAGGACUUGACGGUAUUUCACACUCAACCUAGAGGAGCCUGUCUACUAACCGAUAACCCACGAUUAACCCAACCGCUUCUAGCCCCCAGCCUAUAUACCACCGUCGCCAGCCUACCUUAUAAAAGAAACAAAGUGAGCUAAACAGUAAUACACUAAAACGACAGGUCAAGGUGUAGCUAAUGAAUCGGAUUAGGAUGGGCUACAUUUUCUAACCCAGACUAUACGAACCAGGCCAUGAAACAAGCCUUCGAAGGCGGAUUUAGUAGUAAGCCGAGAACAUAAUACUCAACUGAAACCAAUGCAAUGAAAUGCGU
rnacentral:rRNA from 1 species